rnacentral:tRNA from 1 species
AGCCAUUUAGCUAUACUUCUAAGUAAGUGUUUUGAAAACACUUGAAAAAUAUUUUAAUGGCUA